GCUUAUAGGGCUUCUAGGUAUAGAGCAAGUGCUUCUUACCCCUGGAAUAUACCUAAUAUGCCCUAAAGUUUUUCCCAGUCUAAAUGUAAAUAAAUCAAUCUUUUCUUUUCAAAAUAGGAUCAUGGCCUAUAAAAUGCUUCAAGUGGCCCUGUGUUCAACAUUGCUUAUAGAUCAACAGACAUUGAAGGUAACAUGAGGGAAGGAAUUCACAGUCAUGGCAGCCCAAGGAUGACGAGCUCCUAGUGGUUGGAAAGCCCUGGCUCGUGAAACAUGGACUAAUUUGAGAACAACAGCACAGUAUUAUCUGAAUGUGAAUACCUUCACUUUUGACAUGUUUACUGCCCAGUAAACGUGCUUAGCUGGUUAAAUCAGGGGAGCAAAAAUGAUGGGAUUCAGCAUGGAAAUGUACCAAAACCAUGGUCUUUGCAGACCUGGUAGCAAGUCCCGGCUAUUUGCUCAAUUCUUUAUUACAUCUAUCUCAUGUGAAAGUCCAUGUAGAGACCUAGAAUUAGAAGUUCAUAAUACAUGGGAGGUCUUAAAACAAGAACUUGAAAAUAAAGACUGCAGUACUAACUUUUAUCAAAAAGGGACUUUUAUGGGAAAAGGAAAUAAAAAACAAAACUAUGGCAUCAUUACUAUUCCCUGUUCAUGGUUUUUGUUGUCUAUUGCCUCUUCUUUGGGAUAGUUAGUUUACUUUCUAAUUAAAGGAAGAGAGACCUCUGAAAUGGAGUUGGUUCUCUUCUCCUUUCUUACAAUACUUUUCACUUUCUGAAUCCCAUCUGUUUUAAGACCAACUCACAUGAUGGAAAAGAUCAUGACUAGGAACUCACUGGAAGUCACUCACCUACACAGCCAGAAGACAGUCAUCUGUGUACCAGGAAGCAGGCUCUCACCAAACACGGAAUCUAAUGGCAGCUUGAUGUUGGACUUCCCAGGUUCCAGAACUAAGAAAUAAAUUUCUGUUGUUUAUAAACCACCAAGUCUAU